CAAUAGCGUAUAUUAAAGUUGUUGCAGUUAAAAAGCUCGUAGUUGGAUUUCUGGUAGGAGUGACCGUUCCGAACUUGAUUGUUCGUGUAUUGUGUUUUCUCCAGCCAUCCUUGUGGAGAACUUUUCUUGCAUUAAUUUGUAGGGAUUGGGACCCGCAUCGUUUACUGUGAAAAAAUUAGAGUGUUUAAAGCAGGCAAUCGCUUGAAUACAUUAGCAUGGAAUAAUAAGAUAGGACUUUGGUACUAUUUUGUUGGUUUGCAUACCAAAUUAAUGAUCAACAGGAACAGUUUGAGGAUAUUCGUAUGAACAUGUCAGAGGUGAAAUUCUUGGAUUUUGAUCAGACGAACUACUGCGAAAGCAUUUGCCAAGGAUGUUUUCAUUGA
rnacentral:rRNA from 1 species